GGGGGCGAAACGGCUUCGACGGAGAUGAAGAAGCUCAGAUCGCGUGUCGUGGCGCCCAUGGCCACGUAAAAAUGGGCAAUAACGCAACUGCAAAUGACAAUAGUCAGAGCGUUGCUCUAGCAGCCUAAUUAGGUCUGCUCGGCACUCUUAGGCUUCCGCCUGUAGCUUGAGAAACGCCGUCAAUAACCAGGCUAGCCAACACACAGAGUUCAUCGGUGUCAUGGUGAAAUUCAGGAUGAGCUAAGUCAGUAAAUAGGUUGCCGACCAUCGGUUUACUGAUCGAAAAUUAAACUAUCGGACACACACGUAGACGUCUGCUGUAGGCACAUUUUCGGACGCGGGUUCGACUCCCGCCGCCUCCACUA
rnacentral:tmRNA from 1 species